GUUAUACGGCUUGUCCUCUUUUCAGAUGGGUUACUUACGAAUAUGGCAACUACAGAGGCCGACAGUUCCUACUGUCUCCCGCAGAAGUGCCAAAUUGGUAUGAGUUCAGUGGCUGUCGCCAAAUAGGUUCUCUCCGGCCCUUUGCUCAGAAACGAAUUUAUUUCAGACUUCGAAACAAAGCAACAGGACUGUUUAUGUCAACCAAUGGGAACUUAGAGGAUCUGAAGCUUCUUAGGAUCCAGGUCAUGGAAGACGUUGGUGCUGACGAUCAGAUCUGGGUCUACCAAGAAGGAUGCAUCAAAUGCAGGAUAGCAGAAGAUUGCUGCCUGACGAUCGUGGGUAGCCUCGUAACGUCUGGCUCUAAACUAGGACUAGCCCUUGAUCAAAAUGUCGACAGUCAGUUCUGGUGCAUGAAGUCUGAUGGCAGGAUCUACAGCAAGUUGAAGCCAAAUUUAGUCUUGGAUGUGAAAGGUAAGCACCAUUUGUUUCCCUGUGGU